CUGUGGUACAGAUGACGACCGGCGCACGGGUGCGUAACGCGUAUGAAACCUGCCUUUUACUGGGGGAUAGCCCGAAGAAAUUCGGAUUAAUACCCCAUAAUAAUAGUUGAUGGCAUCAUUAAUUAUUUAAAACUCCGGUGGUAAAAGAUGGUCAUGCGUGACAUUAGCUAGUUGGUAAGGUAACGGCUUACCAAGGCAACGAUGUCUAGGGGUUCUGAGAGGAAGGUCCCCCACACUGGUACUGAGACACGGACCAGACUCCUACGGGAGGCAGCAGUGAGGAAUAUUGGUCAAUGGACGCAAGUCUGAACCAGCCAUGUCGCGUGCAGGAAGACUGCCCUAUGGGUUGUAUACUGCUUUUAUACGGGAAGAAUUGUAGCUACGAGUAGUUAUUUGCCGGUACCGUAUGAAUAAGCAUCGGCUAACUCCGUGCCAGCAGCCGCGGUAAUACGGAGGAUGCAAGCGUUAUCCGGAUUCAUUGGGUUUAAAGGGUGCGUAGGCGGAAGUAUAAGUCAGGGGUGAAAGUUUGUGGCUCAACCAUAAAAUUGCCUUUGAUACUGUAUUUCUUGAGUACAUUUGAGGUAGGCGGAAUGUGUUGUGUAGCGGUGAAAUGCUUAGAUAUAACACAGAACACCGAUUGCGAAGGCAGCUUACUAAACUGUAACUGACGCUGAUGCACGAAAGCGUGGGGAUCGAACAGGAUUAGAUACCCUGGUAGUCCACGCCGUAAACGAUGAUAACUAGUUGUUUGCAAUAGACCGUAAGCGACAAAGCGAAAGCAUUAAGUUAUCCACCUGGGGAGUACGUUGGCAACAAUGAAACUCAAAGGAAUUGACGGGGGCCCGCACAAGCGGAGAACAUGUGGUUUAAUUCGAUGAUACGCGAGGAACCUUACCUGGACUUAAAUGUAGAGUGACAGCUUUAGAGAUAGAGUUUUCUUCGGACACUUUACAAGGUGCUGCAUGG
rnacentral:rRNA from 1 species